GUCCAAAAUUUUAGCCAAGGUUGACUGUGGCUAAACUCCUUCGACUGUGGCUCUAAACCACAUGAUUUUAUCAUCUCCUUCCUUCAAUCAUAUUCAAACCAUGGCUUUUUCCAGCCAAAAUAAGAACCUAAAUGCAGGUUUCCUAUCAUGUUUGAACCUAUGCAGCACAUCCACAACCAAAGCAUGUCACCAUAACAUAACCCCAAAUUUAUUUAUUUUUAUGAUAAUACAUAACCCCCAAAUUCAUCAAUCACCUUGCAUACCCUUUCAAUCUCCUCUGUUAUCUGCACAUAGCUCACCACUACAAUCACCCUCCUCCACUCCCUCAAUAUUAGAUAUAGCCCCAUUAACAUAUUACCAAAUUCCCUACAAAUUAUCCCAAAACAUAAACUUUCCUUUGAAACUAUAAAAUUGUAACCGAGAAAAACUACGCAAAUGGAACCAAGUUGAAAUCUAUUCAAUGUUGUAAUUCACCCAUAUAAAAAACUGCUCUGCCUAGCAUGGGAAUCACAUUUAUCAUUAUCAAAUCAAUAUUAAAAUCAAUAAGAUUCAAUUUUAUCCCGACAUGAAUGAUUCAAUUUUAU
rnacentral:lncRNA from 1 species